rnacentral:ncRNA from 1 species
AAAAGGUUUGGUCCCAGCCUUCCUAUUAGUUGUUAGCAAAAUUACACAUGCAAGUAUCCGCAUUCCUGUGAGAAUACCCUCGUAAAUCAUCCAUGAUUAAAAGGAGUAGGUAUCAAGCACACUCUUACUGAGUAGCUUAUAACACCUUGCUUAGCCACACCCCCACGGGUAACAGCAGUGAUAAAAAUUAAGCAAUAAACGAAAGUUUGACUAAGUUAUGCUAACAUAGGGUUGGUAAAUUUCGUGCCAGCCACCGCGGUCAUACGAUUAACCCAAAUUAAUAGGCAACGGCGUAAAGCGUGUUAAAGAAUAUUUGCCAUGAUAAAUAAAGAUAAAACUUAACUAGGCUGUAGAAAGCAACAGUUAAAAUUAAAAUACACUACGAAAGUGACUUUAUUAUAGCUGAUUACACGAUAGCUAAGAUCCAAACUGGGAUUAGAUACCCCACUAUGCUUAGCCCUAAACUUAGGUAUUUGUCUAACAAAAAUACCCGCCAGAGAACUACUAGCAAUAGCUUAAAACUCAAAGGACUUGGCGGUGCUUUAUAUCCCUCUAGAGGAGCCUGUUCUGUAAUCGAUAAACCCCGAUAAACCUCACCACCCCUUGCUAAUUCAGCCUAUAUACCGCCAUCUUCAGCAAACCCUAAAAAGGCAUAAUAGUAAGCACAAGUAUAGGACAUAAAAACGUUAGGUCAAGGUGUAGCUUAUGAGGUGGGAAGAAAUGGGCUACAUUUUCUAUUAAUUAGAACACUUACGAAAGUUAUUAUGAAAUUAAUAACUAAAGGAGGAUUUAGUAGUAAGUUAAGAAUAGAGUGCUUAACUGAAUCAGGCCAUGAAGCACGCACACACCGCCCGUCACCCUCUUCAAGUACUUCAGACUACAGCUAAUCUAUAAUUACAAGUCACCCAGUAUUAGAAGAGAUAAGUCGUAACAAGGUAAGCAUACUGGAAAGUGUGCUUGGACGAAU